rnacentral:lncRNA from 1 species
CAGACCCAAAACUCCAACACCCCAAAUCCGACCCUGGGUAUCCCAAAGCCCCCAGACCCCAAAUCCUGACCCCAACAAUUUGGAGUUCUCAUUUUUGGGGUUCCAGAUUUUUGGGGUUCCCACAAUUUGGGUUUCCAGUUUUUGGGGUUCCUGGGAUUUUUUUUGUUUCCAUUUUUGGGGUUUUGCCGGUUUUUGGGGUUUUGCCGUUUUUUGGGGUUCCCUGUGCUUUUCGGGUUCCCACAAUUUGGGGUUGGGUUUUCCAUUUUGGGGUUCCCGGUGGUUUUGGGGUUUUCCCAUUUUUGGGGUUCCCGGUGUAUUUGGGGUUCCCAUUUUUGGGGUUCCCAUUUUAUGAGUUUCCCAUUUUUGGGGCUCCCGGUGUUUUUGUGGUUCCCAUUUUGGGGUUCCCAUUUUUGGGGUUUUCCCAUUUUUGGGGUUCCCAGUGUUUUUGGGGUUUUCCCAUUUUUGGGGUUCCCAUUUUGGGGUCCCCAUUUUGGGGUUCCCAUUUUUGGGGUUUUCCCAUUUUUGGGCUCCCCGGUGUUUUUGGGGUUCCCAUUUUGGGGUUCCCAUUUUUGGGGUUUUCCCAUUUUUGGGGUUUUCCCAUUUUUGGGGUUCCCGGUGUAUUUGGGGUCCCCAUUUUGGGGUUCCCAGUGGUUUUGGGGUUCCCAUUUUUGGGGUUUUCUCAUUUUUGGGGUUCUCGGUGUUUUUGUGUUUCACAUUUUUGGGGUUUCCGGUGUUUUUGGGGUUGGGGUUCCCAUUUUUGUGUUUCCCAUUUUUGGGGUUCCCAUUUUGGGGUUCCCAUUUUUGGGGUUCCCGGUGUAUUUGGGGUUCCCAUUUUUGUGUUUCCCAUUUUUGGGGUUCCCGGUGUUUUUGGGAUUUUCCCAUUUUUGGGGUUCCCGGUGUUUUUGGGGGUUCCCGGUGUUUUUGGGGUCCCCAUUUUUGGGGGUUUCCCAUUUUGGGGUUCCCGGUGUUUUUGGGGAUCCCGGUGGU